AUGGCCCAUGGGCCUGGCGCUGACGGACCCUGGAGCGGUGUCUGAGGGAGGUGGGCAAAGCCACUGGCUGGCCCGAGAGCAUCCUCACGUAAAUGGAUUGGAACCAAAGUUCACUUCUUUAACAAAAGUGCUUUAUGACUUUAAUAAAACAGUAGAGAAUGGUAGAAUCCAUGGCAGCUCUUUACAAAAACUUGUGAUAGAAAGUUUUGAUGAUGAGCAGACUUUGCAACAACUGGAAUUGCAAAAUGAAGCAAUUUUACCGUGCUUCCAGAAUGCGGUUAGUGAAAGAAAGAUGAAGAUAUCAGUCUUCUCCCAGAGAGUGAAGAACAGGAGCAUGAAGAGGCUGGUUCAGAAACAGAGGCUGAUGGCCAGGAGGACCUAGAAGAUUUAGAGGAGGAGGAGGACAUGAAUGACAAAAAUUACAUCUUUAGAAAAAGAGUUGUUAGAAAAAAGCCUUGGCUGCAUGUGGGGGAAGUGACAGCACAGAAGAGACCAGAGAAGAGCCUCCUGGAGGAGAGCCUGCACUUUGACCAUGCUGUCCGGAUGCUUUGGCACCCGUGAUUACAGAGGAAACACCUUUCAACUGGAAGGUAUCAUUAAACAGAGGAUAAGAGAUCAGGUC
rnacentral:lncRNA from 1 species